GCUUCUACGAGCUCGAAGCCACAUUGAAAUGGUCAACAACUCUAAAAAAUCCUAGACGACCCUUCUUAGGGUGUUCAAAGUACAAUACCCAGGGCUUACCAUACUGUAAGUUUUUCAAGUGGUUGGAUGGUAAUGAAGUGAUUGAGCUAUAAGUUGAAGAAAGAAUCAAUGAACUAUUAAAGAAAGA